GGGGAAUAUUGCGCAAUGGGCGGAAGCCUGACGCAGCGACGCCGCGUGAGGGAUGAAGGCCUUCGGGUUGUAAACCUCUUUCAGCACCGACGAAUUCGGACGGUGGGUGCAGAAGAAGCGCCGGCUAACUACGUGCCAGCAGCCGCGGUAAUACGUAGGGCGCGAGCGUUGUCCGGAAUUAUUGGGCGUAAAGAGCUCGUAGGCGGCUUGUCGCGUCUGCCGUGAAAGCCCACGGCUUAACCGUGGGUCUGCGGUGGAUACGGGCAGGCUAGAGGCAGGUAGGGGAGCAUGGAAUUCCCGGUGUAGCGGUGAAAUGCGCAGAUAUCGGGAGGAACACCGGUGGCGAAGGCGGUGCUCUGGGCCUGUCCUGACGCUGAGGAGCGAAAGCGUGGGGAGCGAAC
rnacentral:rRNA from 1 species